AUUAUAUACUGACUUAUAUAGAAUAAAACAAAUAAGAUAUUGGCAAAAAUUUCUCCUUUUCAUAAGUAAUUUUAUCUUUCUCGUCUAUUUUGUACUACUCUGCUGACCAUAGCAGUAGCAGGUUUACCCUGUGUGUCGUUGUCCCACCUGUUAAAAAGUAUUCAGUACAACAGGGUAAUUUUACCAGCAGGCAGAAAUGAAAAAAGAUAAAAAUUGCAGGAGUUUUAGUUGAACUAAUAGCAGAUAUUAACUGUUAAAAACGAAUGCAAGUUUGCCUGUUAAUAUAGAGGGUUUUCACAGACCAUCAGACUUUUACUGCAAACAAUGAAUUCCUGCGGCGUAGCAGGGCAUUAAAAAUUGCAGACCUGUAUUUCUGUCAGUUAUUUUAAACUGCAUCCGCACAGGUCAAUCCUGUGUUUCUUACCGAAUUUGGUUCUCUGAAGGACAUCCAGUUUUUUACUGAUGAAGGAGACACCUUUUUAUCAUAAAGGACAUAUUUUUUAUUUAUUUACAUAUACAUAUAAAAAAAAACAACAACUAUUCACAAAUCCGGUCGGAAGCGCCUCUCUAGUUUAUGAUAUUAAUUUAGUAGGUUUAUUGCUUUUCGCGAUAAUUUUACUUCCACAAAGUUUCUGUUCUUGGUCAAAAUAACACAAAUUCCGACACACUUCAGUUAGGGAGCACCGUUUGUAUCGAAUUCCACCCUAAAAAUAAUUAAAUAAUAAUUAAUACACACACGUGCAGCUUUGACAUCUUCUAUGGUGAUGUAAAUAGAUUCAAAUAUUCAUUUUUUCUUUUCUACAGAGGAUCACAUUGGAUACUACCCUUCAUUGUAUAUGUCAUUGAUAGUAGCGUCAGAUUUUUUACUAGGGAAUUAUUGCUGUAAUUUCAUUGGCCCAUUCACCCUUCACAGCUUUAAAUUCUCUGAUAUUGUAUUAUUUUUUCUCUUGGCCAAUAAGGCUUAUCUAUACUUCAUUUUAACAGUAGGACUAUGAAAAAACGAAAAUUAUUUAAAUCUAUAUAUAUAUAAACUUUAUCAAACAAGAAUAUCAUUGAAGUGCUCCUUUCGGGAAGAAAUCGAAUUUCUAAUCUUAGCCAAGGGAUAGUGUCAAGUCUCCAGCGAUGCAUCGGUUCAACACACCAUGUUAUCUGGUAGGGAAGUAUCAACUGCUCUAUGCUCCUAGACUUGUGAUUCUUACGUUGAUAAGAAAACUCUUGUCAAAGAAGUUCAACCCUCGGAAUCUGUCUCUUUACCGACCAAAGACUGAAUUACGAAUAAAAUGGAAGAGCUGAUAUCGUUUUGGAGCAAGAUCUUUCUAGAAAAUAUGAAUACAUUUCAUUCAUAAAUAAAACUUAGAUACAUAA
rnacentral:lncRNA from 1 species